AUGUGUUUAUUGAAAGACCUAUAUCGAUCAAGGAUCGACAGGUUAAGAAGCUCCGAAAAGAAGCGUGUACCUAUUGAGUAGGUCAAUUGGAAUGCCCGUGAAGGUCCCUAAAUUACUGUGGAAGUUAAGUCCAUUAUACGACAGAAAGUACUUCCAUCUUUUUUAGUAAAUCUCGGGGUCGAGAUUUCUUUAAGGGGGUGAGGAUGUAACACCUCGUAAAAUCGUGUCCAAUGAUGUGUUGACACGUGUAAUGAACCCUAAUAAAGUCAAACGUUGACUAUGAGGGACUAAUUUCGUCAAAAAUCGAAAACCUUGAUUUUAGAAGGACCGAAAGUGUCAACAUGCCUAGACUAGGCCUCUGAGUGACCUUAUACGAUGUCCGUAUUCUCAAACGAGCCACUUGUUGGACGAGAGGAGCCGUUUGCGUAAUUAUUUGAAAGUUUGCGCAAUGAAGGGUUAAAAGUGUCAACAUGUUAAUUCUUACCUCUGAGUGACCUUUUAACGUACCGAGAGCUUCAUUAUGUUUCAUCAUAUUCUCGGGAUUGCCUAAUAUUGGCUAUGCAAGCCUUUUAUGCCAAUAAGUGAAGUUACACGCAAGUUUGUGAGUUAGAGGGGUUAAAAGUGUCAACAUGUUUAAUUAUACCUCUGAAUGACCUCUUAACGAACCUGAAACAUUAUGAUGUACAAUCAUACUUUCAAGAAUGCUUAUGAUGAGCUACAUAGGGCUUUGAUGCUAUUAAAUGAUGAUACGCGCAAGUUACGCGUUAGAGGGACCAAAAGCGUCAACAUUGGAUAAUACACCUUUGAGUGGCCUUUUGAGCGAACUGGAGCAUCGUAAUAUUUGAACAUAUGCUCGGGAUACUUCAUAUGAGCCAUGGAAGGCUUUAAUGUCGAUAAAUGGUAUUAAGCGCAACUUUACGCAUUAAAAAGGACUAAACGCGUCAUCGGGUGAAACUACACGUUAGAAGGUCUUUUAAAGGAACCGGGAACUUCACAAUGAUUAAUCGUACAUCCAGGAAUGCCCAAGAUUUGUCGCUUAUGAUGAUUAUACCUUACAUUAUCAUAAAACAUAAUAUACAUGAAGUAUUGGGUCAUUUAUGUCACAUUUAGAAGUUAAAAAUGGUUCAGAAAAAGACAGGGACUAAUGUUGUAAACAUCUGAAACUUGCUUCGGCUGGUUGGGCCUAACCACGGGCCAUGAGCCCAAUGGGCUGCAUCUUUUCGUGGGCCAACUUUAACAAACAACAACAUUUAUGUGCUGUUUCGAAGUUAUACAAAGAACAGGGACCAAAACCGCAACUCAGCAAACUUGUUGUCUGGGCCUGACUUUCAGGCGGGCCGCGUAGGCCUUGGGCCGCUUCUUACGCGGGCUGCGUGGCCCGUAUCUGCUGUUGAUUAUUUUUUUUAUUUGUUCUUGCUUGCUCUUCACUCAUAUUUCAUUCUAGCCAAUUAUAAUCGAAACCUUGGUCACCAAGACAGCUAUAACAGCUGUUAUAACAUGUGUAAUGAUCUGGAUAACCCUCCCUAACACUUGUCUUGAUCCAAUCAACACCCAAAAACUAUAUAUAGGAUGAAAGUUCAUCCAUUUCUUUGCUCAUUAUCAUUCUAUCAUCUUAUCUUUCAAUCCUGGAGCUCCUGAAUUGAAUAGAACUUAUUUUCUUGUAGAGAAGUUAGCUAGGACCCUUUGUAAGUGUCUUAGCCCUCUUUAUAAUUCAAUUUUGUGAUUUAAGAACCGAAAAGUCAAGUUAUUGUAAAUUAACUUUGACUCUCGGUUUAAGCUCCAUUGGUCCAGCCACUGAUCAAAAUGAAGGUGGGUAUAAGACCAUAGUUAGGUAGGUGAUUAACCCUUAAAAGGGCACCUCCUAAUUCCUUCGUUUGCUUAGUUAAUUGUCGGGUUAUGCCAUUUAGGUAAAAAGUCAAACUUGGUAGAUUUGUGAAUAAUAAUUAAAACCAUAGAUGCAAAGGUUAUAAAUUAUAUUUUAACGCUCUAAUAACUUGGUAAUUAUUAUUAGAACAUGUCUAAGCAUGCUCAACCCGACAAUUAUGAGUUUAGGGUCGGUUCGCAACCGAAAGUCGCAAAAGCUUGACUUUUGCUUUGACUUUCAGUUCUGACCCAAUCUAGCUUAAAUCCUUUAUGUUUUAAGCUUUCAUUAGGACCAUAUUAUGUUGUAGUAAAUGACGGGUGGUCCAUAGGACAACCCUUAAGUGCCUUAAAAAGAUUAAAAUCCCAUGCUUUACACGUUUAAUUGUUUGAACUUGGUAACUAUUAGUUGUUUGGACGUGCAGGUGCAAAUGGAGCAUAAAAGGGAAAGAAUUUGGAGCAUCAAUAAAAAAUCAAUUUUUGGAAUUGAAGAGUUAAAAGGGUAGCAUGAUAGAGGAUGAAAUUACGAGAACGUAGGCGAAAACGGUGAAGAAAACGGAGUUGAAACGAAAAAGUUAUGCUGAAAACAAGUUUUCAGCAUUGCCUGCCGUAAGACAGAAGACAAGGACCGUAUGACUUGGCUGCUCGCCGUAAGCUACGGCCCUCUGGCGUAGCUUACGGCGCCGACUGAUCUAAAAUCGUAACUUAUGCAUUUAAUUGUCAUUUUCAUGGGGUUUAAGUGUGUCUCAUCAUAUGUUUCGGUUACACAACACUUGGGGACGAAUUUUGGCUAAUUUUUGGAGCUUGAAGACUAUCUUUAUCAUUGUUUUUCAUGUUCUUAACUUGUUUGAAGAUUAAAACUUGGUUUAUGAUGUUUGUUCAAGCCAUGAGUGGCUAAACAUUUUGUGGUCAUCUUUGGUGGAAGGUUUU
rnacentral:lncRNA from 1 species